rnacentral:rRNA from 1 species
AACGAACGCUGGCGGCAUGCCUAACACAUGCAAGUCGAACGAAACCUUCGGUUCUAGUGGCGCACGUGUGCUUAACGCGUGGUAACCUGCCCUUAGGUUCUGAAUAACUCCCCUAAGGGGGUGCUAAUACCGGAUAAUGUCUUCGGACCAAAGAUUUAUCGCCUUUGGAUGUGCCCGCGUUUGAUUAGCUAGUUGGUAGGGUAAAAGCCUACCAAGGCGACGAUCCGUAGCUGGUCUGAGAGGAGGAUCAGCCACACUGGGACUGAGACACGGCCCAGACUCCUACGGGAGGCAGCAGUGGGGAAUAUUGGACAAUGGGCGAAAGCCUGAUCCAGCAAUGCCGCGUGAGUGAUGAAGGCCUUAGGGUUGUAAAGCUCUUUUACCCGGGAUGAUAAUGACAGUACCGGGAGAAUAAGCUCCGGCUAACUACGUG